rnacentral:ncRNA from 1 species
GACAAGGGGAAUCUGAUUGUUUAAUUAAAACAAAGCAUUGCGAUGGUCCUUGCGGAUGUUGACGCAAUGUGAUUUCUACUCAGUGCUCUUAAUGUCAAAGUGGAGAAAUUCAACCAAGCGCGGGUAAACAGCGGGAGUAAUUAUGACUCUCUUAAGGUAGCCAAAUGCCUCGUCAUCUAAUUAGUGACAUGCAUGAAUGGAUUAAUGAGAUUCCC